rnacentral:rRNA from 1 species
AACCCCUGCCCUUAGUUGCCAGCGGUUAGGCCGGGCACUCUAAGGGGACUGCCGGCGACGAGCCGGAGGAAGGAGGGGAUGACGUCAGAUACUCGUGCCCCUUAUGUCCUGGGCGACACACGCGCUACAAUGGGGUGGACAGCGGGAAGCGAGGCAGCGAUGCUGAGCAAAUCCCUGAAACCACCCCCCAGUUCAGAUUGUGGGCUGAAACCCGCCCACAUGAAGCCGGAAUCGCUAGUAAUCGCGGAUCAGCCACGCCGCGGUGAAUACGUUCCCGGGCCUUGUACACACCGCCCGUCAAGCCACCCGAGUCGCGGGCACCCGAAGACGGUGACCCUUAGGGGCGCCGUUGAGGGUGAACGUGGUGAGGGGGGCU